CCCAAAAACCCUCAAAAUUAAACAGACGCUAUUUUCUCCUCUGAAACCCACCAAAUCUCUCUCAAUAUUCAACCUUGAAAAAUCCGACGACCUGCUCCGGCGAAUGACGACCUGCUCCGGCGAAUGACGACCUGCUCCAGCUAAUAUAAGGCAAUCUCCGACGUAGGCUGUUGGUGUUUUCCCCUGUUCGGUGUUUGUAUGGUUGUUAGCUGAGCAUUGAAAUUUUUCGCAGCUUCUUCGAUCUGCUUUCUUCUUUGGUCGAAUCGGUGCUUUAUAUGUCUGGUUGAAAGGAACGUAUUCGAAUCCGUCUUUUCCGAUCUGCGUUACUGCUGCACAAGACGAGGGUCCAUAUUGGUCAAUUAGUGAAAGAUACAUCUGCAAAACUUAAGCAAGCCAGUGAAACAGAUCAUCGUAUUGAAGUCAGUAUUUGAUAGAUAUGAGUCAAGAAAGACCUUCAAAGCCCAAAAAAAAGAUAAGCGCAACAUACACAAAACCUGGAACAAUGGCAUCUUUGGCAAACCAAAUAAGGACUUCGUUUAGCCAAAAAUAUGUUGUUCCCGCUAGACAAUCAAACAAGUAAUAGAGGAACAAGUUCAGUUGGAUUCUACAACUCUUGUUGAAGAUGAACAAUGUGAAGAACAAGUUGAAGGCCCUUCUAAUCAAACAAGAAAAAGAGGAAAAACAAAGAUGAAAAGUGUACAUGGACGACAUGAGCGUAAAUACAUUUUACUUAACAACUUAAAUCAACCCGUCGGUCCUAGUGACGCAGUUGUGACAGAGUUUGGAAGCUUCCUCGGCACAUUGGCAAGGAAUGCGACUCUAUGUCCUCUUGAUAUUUUGGAUUGGAGGAAGAUGGACACAAAAGAGGAUAUAUGGGAAUAUACCAAGGAUAAAUAUGAUAUUCCUGAAGAUGUUCCAGUUUCUCAAUUUAAGGAACUCCUUAGGUAUUGGAACUCUGAGAAACUCCAGGUGCAGCUUGCGGAAGAAAGCAGUGACGAAGACCUUACUUGAGUGUUGUUGAUCGUUGUUAAACUUUCUAUCAUCAUGUUCAAAGAUAUUUUAGUUUAGAACUUUUUGUAUGCAAACUCAUCUAUUUUGACUUUUGAAUUGUUGAUCAAACAAUGUAUUCACAUUUUGUUUUUGUAUGAGUAAUGCUAUUUGAAUAUUUUAAUUUUA